AUUUAUUUUUUGUUUCUUGUUUUUAUUUUUAGGUAACGAUGAAUCAGUCAACUAUAGCAGAAGAGGUGAUAAUUCAUAGAUUGACAAAAAAGGAUGAAAGAAAAAGGUAACGAUGAAGCAGUCGCAGUCGACUCUAUCAGAAACGUGGUCUGGAUCAAAACUGGAUGGAAUAUUUAAUAAAAUAUUAUUAAGAUAUUUGUUGUGUAAUAUUUAAAAUGUUUUAAUAAAUGUGUAAAAUAA
rnacentral:lncRNA from 1 species